ensembl:lncRNA
AGGUUCAGCAAAGCACCAUUGCACAUGUAUAUGUAAGAAACCUGCACAUUCUGCACAUGUAUCCCAGAACUUAAAGCAAAAUUAAAAAAUAAAAAAAGAGGGUCUGACAUAAGGAGAUUGCAGUUAGCUUUAAUUUACAUUUCAUUUGUUACUGCAUUUGAAACCAUUCAUUCCCAAGCAAUGCCCUUUUCUCUGCAGUCUUUAUUUCUUUGAUGUACAGCUCCAUAAAGAUGCCAGUGUAAUUCUUCACCUUUCUAUCAGAGGUCCUUAAGUAAUUUCAGAAGCAUGUUUCAUUCCUGACUUUCUAAAUGCAGAAACAGAGACAAAGACGCCUUCAGUCAAUAGCUCAAGGACACCCAGAGCAGUGGCGGCAGUGCCGUGGCGGGUGAGGGCCCUUGGCUCUUCAGGAGGCCCCUCUCCUCCUCGCCAGGCACAGCCACCUAAUUCACUCAGCGCUUUUAGAAAGCAAUAGUUAUUGCUGCUUGACUUGGGCUAGACUAUAUCAUAACCUUAUAACAUGUGAAAUUAAUUUUCUCGGUGAUUCAGUGCCAGAUUUUACUCCAAGCUGAGGCGAAUGCAGACAGUUAACACUACUGUCUUCAUUGCUGUUGUCCAAAAAGAGACAGCUUUAUUGGGAAUAAUGAAUAGAUAUGCCAAUUGCCCUGAUCUGGUCACUAUGUAUGAUACACAUCAAAACAGCACGGUGGACCCCAGUAAUGUGUAUAAUGAUUAUGUGUCAAUUAAAAAACAUUUGAAAGCAAUGUGUUUUUAAAAUGAUGGCAUUAAAAUUUUUGCUCUGAGUUGUUGUUGGAUAAAGCGGCGAAAUUUACGAAAAUCUGGUGAUGGCCUGAUGUUGUCUCCAAACAUUCUGGAAGGCACAGUGAAGAGGGUCCCGGCUCUGCCUGGACAGCCUGAGGAAGUGUCUCUCGGCGUGGGGCGGGGGAAGGCAUCAACUCAGACCCGGCCUCCUGGGUUCAGGCAAUUCUCCUGAACUCUACUAAAAAAUACAAAAAAUUAGCUGGGCACGGUGGCGCGUGCCUGUAAUCCCAGCUACUCAGGAGGCUGAGGCAGGAUGUGGAGAUUGCAGUGAGCCAAGUUCAGGUCAUUGCACUCCAGCCAGGCAACAAGAAAAAAAAAAGAUGGGUGAACCAAGUGAGAGCAAACACGAGCCUUGGGGUGUGGGCCUGAGCAGCCUGGGGCCUCCUGGAGGUGAGCUGAGUCCUCUCGCCAGAAUCUGGGCCUUGGAAUGUGUCCUGGGAAAGACUGCUGAAGGGGAAGGCUGAAGGGCAGCUGGGAGUGGGGGUCACAGAACACACAGAAAUGAAGCCCAGUGAAAAGCGUCUAUCUUCAUUUUACUUUUUAAGGUUGACCUUGAUUAUCUUCCAGAGACAUUGGCUAAGACCUCGUGAUGAAAAACUAUGGAAUUCUUCUUACAUUGGUUGCUGAACCCUGACAAAUAUCCUCCAAGGUAACCGCUUUGUGUUUAAGCUCCUUCCUAUUCUGAUUUAUAGAACUGGACGGUGAUGGAUGGGUCCGCGGAGUGACCGUGAAGGUCUCUAAUCCUACAAGCGUCUUGAUUUCCAAGGGGACUGGCUGGGCCUGAGGGCGUGUCAGGUUCCCAGGCCGACACUUCUCCAAAGGGUGCUGAGGUGCACGUCAAUAACGCAGUUACAAAG